AUAUACUUGCAAGAGAGUUUCCUGGGUGAGUCAUGGAGUCCUUGACUAUUAGAGCCACAAUGGACUUCAGAUAUUCUCUGUUUGAACUUAUUUUACAGGCAAGGAAAAUGAGUCAAGUCACACAGCUAAAUACUUAAAAUCCAGUUUUCCUGGCUCCCAAUGUAGUCACCUUCCCACUGCCUGAUCUCCAAAGAACCCAAUGAAUUAUUUACUCAGUGACCUGAAUGCAACAACAUAUUCCAUGUAUUUUAAAAAGUGGAAUAAUAAAGAUUCGCCCUGGAGCCAGUGACAGACCCUCCUCGCCCGCUACCACGGGACGGCCAGGUGCUGGAGCAGGGAGCCUAGCCCCGCCUGCGACCUCCCCCGUCUUUUAGGGGCGCUCAGCACUUCAGGAGCCCACCCGACCUGGUUCUCCAGACCCCCGCGAACGUCACCGCGUAAGUACGUGGCCUCCUAGGCCCCUAUCUCGAGGAGGCAGAAGGUCCUCAUCCUUGGGAGUCCCUGGGGCCGGGUGAUUGGAU
rnacentral:lncRNA from 1 species